GACAGAGGGUGCAAACGUUGUUCGGAAUUACUGGGCGUAAAGCGCGUGUAGGCGGCAGGGCAAGUCGGAUGUGAAAUCCCGUGGCUCAACCACGGAAGUGCACCCGAAACUGCCCAGCUAGAGGACCGGAGAGGAUAGUGGAAUUCCCAGUGUAGUGGUGAAAUACGUAGAGAUUGGGAAGAACACCAGUGGCGAAGGCGGCUCACUGGACCGGAACUGACGCUGAGGCGCGAAAGCGUGGGGAGCAAACAGG
rnacentral:rRNA from 1 species